CUUUGGGGUGAUGGGGAUUUCAGCCCUCACUCUUUCUUGUUUGUGCUGUUUGUACCCAGGCAACUGGAUGCAGCUCUCAUUUGGGCAGAGGAGGGUGAACGUGUGGUGUUCACACUGACAGAAAAAAGCAUUAGGCCAGAAAAGGUUUGGGGAAUAUGGGGAAAAAAAAAGAAUUUGUCUUAGGUGGUCUGUAAGCUAAAGUAUGAUGAGGGGGAAAAAUGGCUAUCCAGAGGGUUAUAAUAAACCAAUAGGUUUAUGGAAAAACAAGAAGGAUAUGGAAAGACCAUGGAUUUUCUCCAUCAUAUUCAUCAAUAGUUGAUUUUGCCAUCCUGCAACCUCCUUGACUCUACCCACGUUUCUUUCUCAUGCUCAAAUGCCACUUUGUUCAUCAGUCAAAGGCAACUUUCUUGUGACCCUGUUGUACACAGCCCAGCAAAUCUGGAGGGCAGAAUGAAAUAUGAAACAAAGAAAACAUGACAGCAGGAAAUGGAGGAGGAAAAAAUCUACCCGCCUUGAAAAGGACUGAAGGACAAGUCUGAGAGUGACUUUUCAAAGGGCCUCAUGAGAUGACAGCUUGCAAUGGAGCUGCUUUUCAAACAUUACAAGAAAAGGUUCCAAAACUGUCAGAAGCUGGCUUGGUUUGCAAGUGGAGACACCAGGAAUGGGUUGUAGUGGGAUGCUAUCGGCGUUGAUCCAGGGAGGACUUUCUGGUCCAGUGAGCCUGGACAUUGAAUUCCUCUGACAGAGAGACAGAGAUACUUCAGGAGAAGAGAGGGGUUAUCUGGAGAAGAGGAGGCUCAGGGGAGACCUAAUCACUCAUUACAAUUGCCUGAAAGGAGGUUGUGGUUGAGGUAGGGAUUGGCCUCUUCU
rnacentral:lncRNA from 1 species